AACUUUCGGCAAUGGAUCACUUGUCUCUCCUAUCGAUGAAGAACGCAGAGAAAUGCGAUAAGUAAUGUGAAUUGCAGAAUUCAGUGAAUCAUCGAAUCUUUGAACGCACCUUGCGCCCUUUGGCUAUUCCGAAGGGCAUGCCUGUUUGAGUAUCCUGAACUUCUCAACUCCUCACGGUUUGCCCGUGAUGAGCUUGGACUUUGGGGGUCUUGCCGGCCUGCGGGUCGGCUCCUCUCAAAUGGAUCAGCUUGCCGGGGUUUGGCGGCGUCACAGGUGUGAUAACUAUCUACGCUUGUGGUUUUCCGCUAGGUAUCCUCCAGCGAUGGGGGUUCACUGGAGCUCACAAGUGUCUCUCCUCGGUGAGGACAGCUCUUUGAACGUUUGAUCUCAAAUCAGGUAGGACUACCCGCUGAACUUAAGCAUAUCAAUAAGCGGAGGCU
rnacentral:misc_RNA from 1 species